rnacentral:rRNA from 1 species
AUGGCAAGGCUCGGCGUGGCCUUGCUCGCGCUCCUGGCGGCCGCGGCGGCGGUCGCCUGCCUGCCGUCCCCGGCCUCCGCGGGCGAGCUGGCCUCCAUGCUGCUGUCGCGCGCGGCGGCCUGCGACGGGAUCAUCGGGGAGUGCGGCGUGGACGAGGACGAGGAGAUGGCGCCGGGCGCCGGCGAGGCCCUGCGCCGGUCGCUGGCGCGGAAGUCGACGGCCAGGUACAUCAGCUACGCGGCGCUGCGCGCCGACCAGAUCCCCUGCGACAAGCGCGGGGCGUCCUACUACAUCAACUGCGGGUCCAUGCAGCAGGCCAACCCCUACACGCGCGGCUGCUCCGCCAUCACGCACUGCGCGCGCAACAUGAACUGA